GGGAGAGGUCGGGCUAAAUUGCACAGAUAAGAUCAAUAUGUAGUUAUGGGGUGUGGCUGCUCCUUUUUUACAAUGAACACUGUAUAACAUUGCAUUAGCUCUACGCGGUGUUAAAUGGAUUAUUCUUAAGAUGGGAUGUGGAGAGCUUAUCUGUCAAAGAAUAACAUUUUAGGACAAUCAGUGAUCACUUCACACUUAUUUUUUCUUCAGGAUGCAUCAAAGAUUCAAGGCAAAGAUCCGCACGUCUUUCCUCAAAGCUGAAAACCAGAUUGCAGCUGUGUGCCCACUUGAGACCAAAUCAUCUCAUCAGAUGCCGUGCACUGAGUUUCAACAGCUGUUCUGUGAAGGAAACGCUUCACCGCCAGUAUGUAGGGGAGGAAUGCACACAGUAACCCACCAAAGCAGAGAUGGCAGUAUGGAGGAGAAAGGAGGGGUUGUGCCAAACAUACGUAUCCGUCCCUAG
rnacentral:lncRNA from 1 species